UCUUUCACCAGGGAAGAAGCGAAAGUGACGGUACCUGCAGAAGAAGCGCCGGCUAACUACGUGCCAGCAGCCGCGGUAAUACGUAGGGCCCAAGCGUUGUCCGGAAUUAUUGGGCGUAAAGAGCUGGUAGGCGGUCUGUCGCGUCGGAUGUGAAAGCCCGGGGCUUAACCCCGGGUCUGCAUUCGAUACGGGCAGACUAGAGUGUGGUAGGGGAGAUCGGAAUUCCUGGUGUAGCGGUGAAAUGCGCAGAUAUCAGGAGGAACACCGGUGGCGAAGGCGGAUCUCUGGGCCAUUACUGACGCUGAGGAGCGAAAGCGUGGGGAGCGAACAGGAUUAGAUACCCUGGUAGUCCACGCCGUAAACGGUGGGAACUAGGUGUUGGCGACAUUCCACGUCGUCGGUGCCGCAGCUAACGCAUUAAGUUCCCCGCCUGGGGAGUACGGCCGCAAGGCUAAAACUCAAAGGAAUUGACGGGGGCCCGCACAAGCAGCGGAGCAUGUGGCUUAAUUCGACGCAACGCGAAGAACCUUACCAAGGCUUGACAUACACCGGAAAGCAUUAGAGAUAGUG
rnacentral:rRNA from 1 species